ensembl:lncRNA
AUGAGAGUCCGAGAGAGUGAGGGCUCAGGUCAUCAGUGCUCCAUAGCGUGCAGCGUGUGGCAGCAGACAGCGGGAGACUCCGCACACAUGUGGACUUCACAUCAGCGCCAGCGGAAGGAUGAGUCGGGGAGACAGCACAGCGGCCCACUCCGAACUUACUUAAGGGCAGAAACAGGCUACAAUAUGGGACCCUUUUUCAAGGUGAACAGAAAGUAAGGUCGCCAUUUACACCCACGUACGUCUGUUCCUUAAGAGUCUUACUUAAAGAGUACUUCAACAUCUCAGCAGCCAAAAAGGGCAACCUGAAGUGGAGCUCAAUGCAGAUCACACCGUUCAAGAGCCAAGCAUCCUCUCAACUUUCUGAGCACACGAUUGUCUGUUUCAAAUCCUACAUGAAAUGGAAAGAAGCCUGUCAAUGAUCCAAAUCUAUUCAGAAGUGCCUCCUUGAUAGACUUUUCCUGAGGUACAGAGAACAUUAAAGUAUUAACAAAAGCUCAGGCUAAUACAAACACCAAUGCACUUUUUAUAAACAGGCUACAAUCAAAUAUUUCACAGUAGAUCUUUUCGCAAGCGUCUUCUAUCAACGCAUCCAGAUUAAGUGCUCUCGUGGUUCGCUAGGGCCUUCAUCACUUUAAAGCUGCUAAUCUCUGGUUCCCAACUGCAGCAAAUCCUAUUAAAAUCACCUUCAGUUUAACACUCACAUUGUUACAAAAUGCAAAACACGCAGCUUUCGCCUUACUCUGUUAAUUGAGGGUAGUGCAUCCCUGUAAAAGCGUGUCUGCGAGCAUGUUAAAUAAAUCGCGUGAAUUUCUCAACGUCUGUCAGGAGGACCUAACGCAUCUCGGAGUUUGGCAAUACAGAUCUCCGUCUAGUUCUCCCUUGGGUGCUCCCUAGGGUCCCGAACGAGGGGAAGGAAGUCUCGUCAGCCCUUCAGUGUGAAAGUGUCAGCUUCUGAGGAUUUGACUGAUUAGGUAAUAUUCCGACAUGUUCUUGUGUAAGCAACAUUUUAAAAACUCAUUUGAAGGAAUCUAUCCCCCCAUAAUUCUUCUUCCAUCCGUCACUCCUUUUCACGCAACUUUCAUCUCUAAGACCCCUUGUCACCGCUUAAGAGUCACUGGCGUUGAUGGCGUUGGCAGGCGUCAGCUUUAGCAAAGCCACUUACUGAAGGGAGCACGUCCCCGGUGGAUGUGAUGAUGUUUAAAUUGCCUGCACCUCUACCACAGCAACCGAGCAUCAGUUAUAGAGUAUGUCCUUGACAGGGCUACUCUGUCAAUCAUGAGGUAAAAACACUCUACUGUCAC